CCCUAAGAUGUCCUGGGCCGCACGCGCGCUACACUGAGUGUCUGAGAUACGAGUCUGCCUGGUCCGGCAAGGUCUAGGUAAUCGCUAAAAGACACAUCAUGCUUGGGAUAGAUUAUUGCAAAUAUUAAUCUUGAACGAGGAAUUCCUAGUAAGCGCAAGUCAACAGCUUGCGUUGAUUACGUCCCUGCCCUUUGUACACACCGCCCGUCGCUACUACUGAUUGGAUGUUUAAGCGAGGUUCUCGAACUGCUAGCGACUUAGCUUCGGUGAGGUCGCAGUGUGGGAAGUGAACCUAGCUUUGGUGUCUAGAGGAAGUAAAAGUCGUAACA
rnacentral:rRNA from 1 species